rnacentral:rRNA from 1 species
UACAGAGGUCUCAAGCGUUGUUCGGAUUCAUUGGGCGUAAAGGGUGUGUAGGUGGCGCGUAAGUCGGGUGUGAAAUUCGGAGCUUAACUCCGAAACUGCAUUCGAUACUGGCGUGCUUGAGGACUGGAGAGGAGACUGGAAUUCAUGGUGUAGCAGUGAAAUGCGUAGAGAUCAUGAGGAAGACCAGUGGCGAAGGCGGGUCUCUGGACAGUUCCUGACACUGAGACACGAAGGCCAGGGGAGCAAACGGG